CUUUUUUACACAUUUGGCGUAUUGGUUUUUUUACGUGCUCUUCUCUUCUAAGUCUUUUGUCAUUUUUUGAGAUUGUUUGAACGAUCGAGUGUAUCAAUUAUUUCUUCUUUAUUCGAAUAAAAAAGUGUGUGUUGUGAAAACGAAAAAAUAUUUUGCGAAGAGAUUUCCACUAGAUUGGUUGAACUUUAAGCUUAAUGUUGUGAGCAACUUGAAGUGUUAAUCUGUUGGCGAGACAAUGCAUCAGCAACGUUGUCGCUUAUGCCGUGAUGCCCUGGCUUAUAUACUAAUUUAGCGCCGUAUUUUGCUAUGAAAUUUUACCAUCGUUUUAGUUUAGUGUUCGCAUUUUUAUAGAAAAUCGAAAAGAAGAUCAAAAUGAAUUUAAUGAAAAAAUCCGUUUAUACUAAAUGAGUUAAAAGAGAAUUGAGUGAAAGUAAACACAAUACUUGAUUGUAACGCAAUCUUAAAAGCUGGGAUCAGCUACACAUACAAAAUGUUUGGAAAUUUUAGAUGUACCCACUGCUGAUGUUGAACUACCCAAUGUCGACACUCAUGGCGAGUUCAUCAAUGUCAUUACUGGCGUACACACCGGUUCAGAUGACAUUGGUUCUGGUGAUCCUAUAGGACGCGAUGUUUAUGGACCGUCAAGGGACACAUCGGCAUCUACAGACAAGGUGCUACUAAGUAUUGUAUUCUUCUGGUUUUCGAUUUAUUUACUUUUCCGUUGUUUCGUUUUUUGAGGGAAUAACAGUCAAUCUUCUAGGAACUACUAGCAGUUAAGAUAUAAAGUUAAUUCGUCUGAUGUAACUUUUCCAGGACGCGAUGAUUAUGGAGCGUCACGGGAAACAUCGACAUUCACAGACAAGGUGCUACUAAGUAUUGGAGUUUCAUAGUACACUCAUUACAUAUAACUGCUAUCCUCAUAAUAAUUGAUGAAGUGUCAUAAGACACUUCUGCAUUCACUACACAUUUUAUACACAAGACGUCUUUUAAUUUUGCUGGGAAUUCGUUCUGGAUCAUUGAGCGCGUUUAAUUGUUCUGCCAACUUCUACCAUAGCGCCGGAUGAGUCGGGUAGUUUACACUAAACGGUUGGACUUAGAACAGCAUUCUAACUGGGUUGAGUCGCUGUCCGUGAAGGAUAUAACAAAUGUAUAGUUAUUGUAUCUUGUAUAGUUACUAGCGUAAGUUAUUAGAUCGAAUCCUACAUUAAAGUUUGGAUGGUGUAAUUCGACUUGUUCAUUUAGGCUUUAUUUUAAUAUUUUUAUUGCUUUGAUAGCUUCAUAAUCUCAUUUUAUUUUAGAUUUUAUUUUUUGAUAAGUGUCCUUUGUGUCUUGUUAAGUAACUUUUUAGCGGUUUGCACAUAUGAGCAUUUUCUUUUACAAAUUUACUGUAAUACGACGGGGCUGCUGCUCCAGUUGGUGUCUCUUCAGGUAGCAGAAUGGGGGAAACAGGCGCAAACCCUCCGGCAAGAGAAGUAGCGAAGGGUGAAUCUUUCAUACGCGGCGGAAUCGCCAGCAUUAGCAGAGGAACCUCUGCUAGAGUUAUGAAAGGGCCCACGGGGGUAGAAGCAAAGCAGCUUUAGCGAGAAAGCUAAAGUCAGACUUGGCGAUUGGCGGCCAAGAUCGUGGAACGCUACGGUGACAAGCAUGUUGGUCAGGUAUCUCGUCGGUCUUCCUGUGGGUGGUCAAGGCAAAUCCUGGGGCACCCCCAAAAUGUGUGAGUGCCGGUUGGCACCAGGGGCUGCAUUAGCUCACAAGUUGUGCUGAAGAGAGAUCGGCCGUCUUAUAUAAGUAGGCAGUAUCUCCGGUGGGGGAGGUUUGGAAGGGAGCCAGACUGGAGGCCGUGGCCAAAGCGGAUCUUCCUCUUCGUCCUAGAGCUCGCGUUUGGCUGUCGGCCUAACCUUCCCUUGCGAAUGAGAUUGAGGAAAUCCUCAGACAUUGAGGAAAUCCUCAGAUAUUGUAAUCCCUCAGUUCCAACGCAAGACUGGAGAGUGUUAAGGCUAGAGAGAACCGAUGAACCAUAUCGGCAAGCGCUGAUAAUGCUAAACGCGGAAUCCAUCGGUCGUCUCAGCAAAACAAAGGGAGCCAUAAGCUAUGGUUUUGAAAUGGUGGUGCUGAAAGUACUUCCAUCAGACGCCAGAGAUGUUGGCACCCAAGCUGCGGCUGCGGUGGAUGUGACAAACGGCGCUGACGCUCAAACGACCUUGGAAAUCGACCCGAAUCUCUCGGACGUGGCGAGUACUGGGGGCGGUUCGUCGAUCGGCGACUCCGUAUUCAGCCUCGAACAACUGUUUGAGGUGGUGCGGGUCGAUCACGACUUGGGCGCUGAACUAGCGCUCCUGGAGGAAAGUCUGAAGAAUGAAAUUCCUCGAGAUUAACCUCCAGAAUGCGAAGGCGGCCUCCGCCAAUCUUUUGCUCCGUCUGGAACAAGACGGAGCUGAUGUCGUCCUGAUCCAGGAACCGUGGCUGACUGGCAACGGGAUAUGUGGAUUGAGGACAAAGAGCCAUAGGCUCCUGACGGCCAAGGAUGCAGCAACGCUGACGUAGUGACAGCGAAACGAGUGUGACACCGGAGAUUUCUUACUUAUCUCCGCGUACAUGCCUCACGAUGUGGUGGAGCCACCUCCCAUACCGCUGAGGAGGACUUUAGCCGAAGCGUCUAAGACUGGCACCGGCUUCAUCAUCGGUUCCGGCGCUAACCCGCGACACCACAUCUGGGGUAGCUCGGAUACCAAUAAUAGAGCUACUCAUUCGACCGGAAUCAGGCCAGCAGUUGAGACACCUUUUUUCGGCACUUCCGCAGACAGCAGAUAACUCCGUUAUUUUUCAAUAUUUUUGUAACUAAAAAUUUU